GUCCAUGGUUGCACUACCCUGGAAGUGCUGCAGCUCAGUUGAUCUGAGAAGCUAAGCAGGGUCAGCCUGGUUAGUACUGGGAUGAGAAACACAGAUGUUUUUAGUGGAUCUGUUAAUAGUGGAUU
rnacentral:rRNA from 14 species